UACGUAGGGUGCGAGCGUUGUCCGGAAUUAUUGGGCGUAGAGAGCUCGUAGGCGGUUUGUCACGUCUGCUGUGAAAUCCCGAGGCUCAACCUCGGGCCUGCAGUGGGUACGGGCAGACUAGAGUGUGGUAGGGGGAGAAUGGAAUUCCUGGUGUAGCGGUGAAAAUGCGCAGAUAUCAGGAAGAACACCCGUGGCGAAGGCGGUUCUCUGGGACGGUACUGACGCUGAGACGCGAAAGCGUGGGGAGCGAACAGG
rnacentral:rRNA from 1 species